GAGUUUGAUCCUGGCUCAGGAUGAACGCUGGCGGCGUGCCUAACACAUGCAAGUCGAGCGAUUUACUUCGGUAAAGAGCGGCGGACGGGUGAGUAACGCGUGGGUAACCUGCCUCAUACACAUGGAUAACAUACCGAAAGGUAUGCUAAUACAGGAUGAUAUAAGAGAUUCACAUGGAUUUUUUAUCAAAGCUCCGGCGGUAUGAGAUGGACCCGCGUCUGAUUAGCUAGUUGGUAAGGUAAUGGCUUACCAAGGCGACGAUCAGUAGCCGACCUGAGAGGGUGAUCGGCCACAUUGGAACUGAGACACGGUCCAAACUCCUACGGGAGGCAGCAGUGGGGAAUAUUGCACAAUGGGCGAAAGCCUGAUGCAGCAACGCCGCGUGAGUGAUGAAGGCCUUCGGGUCGUAAAACUCUGUCCUCAAGGAAGAUAAUGACGGUACUUGAGGAGGAAGCCCCGGCUAACUACGUGCCAGCAGCCGCGGUAAUAC
rnacentral:rRNA from 1 species